rnacentral:rRNA from 1 species
AAAAUGUACCGGGGCUAAACAUAUUACCGAAGCUGUGGAUUGUCCUUUGGACAAUGGUAGGAGAGCGUUCUAAGGGCGUUGAAGCAUGAUCGUAAGGACAUGUGGAGCGCUUAGAAGUGAGAAUGCCGGUGUGAGUAGCGAAAGACGGGUGAGAAUCCCGUCCACCGAUUGACUAAGGUUUCCAGAGGAAGGCUCGUCCGCUCUGGGUUAGUCGGGUCCUAAGCUGAGGCCGACAGGCGUAGGCGAUGGAUAACAGGUUGAUAUUCCUGUACCACCUAUAAUCGUUUUAAUCGAUGGGGGGACGCAGUAGGAUAGGCGAAGCGUGCGAUUGGAUUGCACGUCUAAGCAGUAAGGCUGAGUAUUAGGCAAAUCCGGUACUCAUUAAGGCUGAGCUGUGAUGGGGAGAAGACAUUGUGUCUUCGAG